GUUUGGUGGGUUUAAUGAAGCUUUGUCUGAAUGAUGGUUUGAAAUCCAGAUGUAGAAAGCAGACUUUCCUAGUCACUGUUAUUAGGAGGAAAUGAAAACAGAAGCAUAAUUAUAAUGUAUGUCUUUAGUAAAGCUGCCGCCUGGGAUUAGAGGUAGGCUUCUUUUUAUUGAAAAUGUUAAAUAGUUGCUUCAAAAGUUCAAUGAAUCAAUUAACAUUUCUUCUUUGUAUUUAGGUCUGUAUUUUUGGGGGGAAGAAAGUUAAAAGUACUUUGCAUAUAUCCUGUUCUUAGCAAGAAAACACAGGUUUUCAUUCUUAAAACAAAAUUGAGCAAUAUAAUUUUAUUAUUUUCAGAAAGUCUCAAUCCAGUAGAAUAAUAUUGUUUUACUUUGUCAACUCUAUUAGACAUUUCUAUGUUUAUGGUUACCUAUAAGAACUCCUACAAAGGUUCAAAAGAUAUAAGCAUAAUUAUCCUUUGGUUAUAGCAUGUGGCUAGAUUAUGAUUAUGUCCAUUUAGAAGAUAAGUAGCAAUAUAGUUUUGUGCUUUGUCCAGGAUGAUGAUGAAAUGAGUACAGUUUUCAGGUAACUACCCCCUUGAAUUCUACUAUAAGAGUUAAAUUAGAAUUUCUCAUUCUCGUCUUAAUCCGCACCCCUUUCAAUGCCUUCUCAGUUGCCUGCAUGUUCCAACCAGCCAAGAUGAUGUCAUAGAGCAUUUUUUCUAUACCCUGUUUAAGAAGGGCUGAGAAAAGGAUAGGAGAAGAAACUGGGUGCAGAAUUGGCUUUUGCCUCUUCUUCCUACCUGAGCCAUCCAGACAGCACAGCUGCCCCCCAGGUAGGUCUCAACUAAGAUGUGUACACGUGGUUGAGGCUACCAUAGAACACAGGAGCUUUGUAGAGCACAUCAAGUC
rnacentral:lncRNA from 1 species